AAAUUGAAGAGUUUGAUCAUGGCUCAGAUUGAACGCUGGCGGCAGGCCUAACACAUGCAAGUCGAGCGGUAGCACAGAGAGCUUGCUCUCGGGUGACGAGCGGCGGACGGGUGAGUAAUGUCUGGGAAACUGCCUGAUGGAGGGGGAUAACUACUGGAAACGGUAGCUAAUACCGCAUAACGUCGCAAGACCAAAGUGGGGGACCUUCGGGCCUCAUGCCAUCAGAUGUGCCCAGAUGGGAUUAGCUAGUAGGUGGGGUAACGGCUCACCUAGGCGACGAUCCCUAGCUGGUCUGAGAGGAUGACCAGCCACACUGGAACUGAGACACGGUCCAGACUCCUACGGGAGGCAGCAGUGGGGAAUAUUGCACAAUGGGCGCAAGCCUGAUGCAGCCAUGCCGCGUGUGUGAAGAAGGCCUUCGGGUUGUAAAGCACUUUCAGCGGGGAGGAAGGCGUUAAGGUUAAUAACCUCAUCGAUUGACGUUACCCGCAGAAGAAGCACCGGCUAACUCCGUGCCAGCAGCCGCGGUAAUACGGAGGGUGCAAGCGUUAAUCGGAAUUACUGGGCGUAAAGCGCACGCAGGCGGUCUGUCAAGUCGGAUGUGAAAUCCCCGGGCUCAACCUGGGAACUGCAUUCGAAACUGGCAGGCUAGAGUCUUGUAGAGGGGGGUAGAAUUCCGGGUGUAGCGGUGAAAUGCGUAGAGAUCUGGAGGAAUACCGGUGGCGAAGGCGGCCCCCUGGACAAAGACUGACGCUCAGGUGCGAAAGCGUGGGGAGCAAACAGGAUUAGAUACCCUGGUAGUCCACGCCGUAAACGAUGUCGAUUUGGAGGUUGUGCCCUUGAGGCGUGGCUUCCGGAGCUAACGCGUUAAAUCGACCGCCUGGGGAGUACGGCCGCAAGGUUAAAACUCAAAUGAAUUGACGGGGGCCCGCACAAGCGGUGGAGCAUGUGGUUUAAUUCGAUGCAACGCGAAGAACCUUACCUGGUCUUGACAUCCACAGAACUUAGCAGAGAUGCUUUGGUGCCUUCGGGAACUGUGAGACAGGUGCUGCAUGGCUGUCGUCAGCUCGUGUUGUGAAAUGUUGGGUUAAGUCCCGCAACGAGCGCAACCCUUAUCCUUUGUUGCCAGCGGUCCGGCCGGGAACUCAAAGGAGACUGCCAGUGAUAAACUGGAGGAAGGUGGGGAUGACGUCAAGUCAUCAUGGCCCUUACGACCAGGGCUACACACGUGCUACAAUGGCAUAUACAAAGAGAAGCGACCUCGCGAGAGCAAGCGGACCUCAUAAAGUAUGUCGUAGUCCGGAUUGGAGUCUGCAACUCGACUCCAUGAAGUCGGAAUCGCUAGUAAUCGUAGAUCAGAAUGCUACGGUGAAUACGUUCCCGGGCCUUGUACACACCGCCCGUCACACCAUGGGAGUGGGUUGCAAAAGAAGUAGGUAGCUUAACCUUCGGGAGGGCGCUUACCACUUUGUGAUUCAUGACUGGGGUGAAGUCGUAACAAGGUAACCGUAGGGGAACCUGCGGUUGGAUCACCUCCUUA
rnacentral:rRNA from 1 species